AUGAAUGCAUUGGGUGUAAUGGCUUGGGCGCUAUAUUUAUCAGUGUGGCUGUCCUGAUGAAUGGCUAUUUUAAUGCCAUUUGAUCCCGGAAACACCACAUACAUUU